UACGUAGGUGGCGAGCGUUAUCCGGAAUUAUUGGGCGUAAAGAGCGCGCAGGUGGUUGAUUAAGUCUGAUGUGAAAGCCCACGGCUUAACCGUGGAGGGUCAUUGGAAACUGGUCGACUUGAGUGCAGAAGAGGAGAGUGGAAUUCCAGGUGUAGCGGUGAAAUGCGUAGAUAUAUGGAGGAACACCAGUGGCGAAGGCGACUCUCUGGUCUGUAACUGACGCUGAGGCUCGAAAGCGUGGGGAGCAAACAGGAUUAGA
rnacentral:rRNA from 1 species